rnacentral:rRNA from 1 species
AAGCCGAGCACCGAGACGAGUCUUUUUUAGAUGAAGUCACUGAUGCCACGCUUCCAGGAAAAGCUUCUAAGCUUCAGCUCACGAAGACCGUACCGUAAACCGACACAGGUAGGUAGGAUGAGAAUUCCCGGGC